AGUGAACGCUGGCGGUAGGCCUAACACAUGCAAGUCGAACGGCAGCACAGUAAGAGCUUGCUCUUACGGGUGGCGAGUGGCGGACGGGUGAGGAAUACAUCGGAAUCUACUUUUUCGUGGGGGAUAACGUAGGGAAACUUACGCUAAUACCGCAUACGACCUACGGGUGAAAGCAUGGGAUCUUCGGACCUUGCGCGAUUGAAUGAGCCGAUGUCGGAUUAGCUAGUUGGCGGGGUAAAGGCCCACCAAGGCGACGAUCCGUAGCUGGUCUGAGAGGAUGAUCAGCCACACUGGAACUGAGACACGGUCCAGACUCCUACGGGAGGCAACAGUGGGGAAUAUUGGACAAUGGGCGCAAGCCUGAUCCAGCCAUACCGCGUGGGUGAAGAAGGCCUUCGGGUUGUAAAGCCCUUUUGGUGGGAAAGAAAAGCAGCAGGUUAAUACCCCGCUGUUCUGACGGUACCCAAAGAAUAAGCACCGGCUAACUUCGUG
rnacentral:rRNA from 1 species